AACAGGUAAUGACAGGCAUUGCUGCUGGGCUAACAAGGGAGAAGUGCCUGACCAGUGUUGGACCCUUCAGAAAUCUUACCAACUUGACAGCGAUCUAUUUAAGCCAGAGGACAGCCAAGAAAGAACUUCAGGCUCAAAACUAAGAAACAGAAGAAUAUAGAUCUUGACAAGAAAGCUAAGCAUUUAGAAGAUGGAGUUUGAAAACUUCAUGGAAAGAAUUACAUGACUCGAUUCCAGAAGAGGACAAUGAAGCAUGAAAACUAAGGCUUUUACUGGCAUGGGGAAGGAAUAAGCUGGCUGUUGGAAAGAUUCAGUUCUGCAUCAAGCUAUCCCUGAAGCUUUUACUACCAAUAAGACAAGGCAUGCAGUCUUGCAUUUUUUGAGGCAGAAACAGAGCAAUUGAGCCUUCAUUCAACUCCUUGCUGCAGAGGGGGGUGCUCAAGAUGGAAUGACAGCUCUGUGAAGCAACAAAUCAUCAAAAGGACAUCAAUGAUUUUUUUUCUUUUCUCUGCAAUGAGAAAGGUGUGUAGAUAUCAGCUUGUACAGGAGGUGCUUCCUGAUCAAAAGAAGUGAUAUGUAGAAAAGGCAAAUUUAAAGUAUUUUACAAGAAAACUUUUUGUCAUAAAAUAAUCUUGGAAGGAACUUAUGCAGAAUCUUGACAUGAACAGCAGGAUUAAGUAACUUCUUUGUAUUUGGUCAUAGAAAUAAUGGCAGGGGGGCAGAUGGGGAACACAUGACAUCUGUUAAUUUCUACUUAAUUUUUGUAUCUGGUAAUGACUAUAGUAAAAAAAAAAUGAACACUGCAUAUUCUGUACAAGUAUCCAAGGCACUGGCUUUAUGACUUUGAUAGAUUAUAGAUGAAGGGGCUUUUUUUCAGUCUAUGCUUGCUAUGAACUAGAUAAACACC